ACACACGGAUAACAUACCGAAAGGUAUGCUAAUACGGGAUAAUAUAUUUGAGAGGCAUCUCUUGAAUAUCAAAGGUGAGCCAGUACAGGAUGGACCCGCGUCUGAUUAGCUAGUUGGUAAGGUAAAGGCUUACCAAGGCGACGAUCAGUAGCCGACCUGAGAGGGUGAUCGGCCACAUUGGAACUGAGACACGGUCCAAACCCCUACGGGAGGCAGCAGUGGGGAAUAUUGCACAAUGGGCGAAAGCCUGAUGCAGCAACGCCGCGUGAGUGAUGAAGGCCUUCGGGUCGUAAAACUCUGUCCUCAAGGAAGAUAAUGACGGUACUUGAGGAGGAAGCCCCGGCUAACUACGUGCCAGCAGCCGCGGUAAUACGUAGGGGGCUAGCGUUAUCCGGAUUUACUGGGCGUAAAGGGUGCGUAGGCGGUCUUUCAAGUCAGGAGUGAAAGGCUACGGCUCAACCGUAGUAAGCUCUUGAAACUGGGAGACUUGAGUGCAGGAGAGGAGAGUGGAAUUCCUAGUGUAGCGGUGAAAUGCGUAGAUACUAGGAGGAACACCAGUUGCGAAGGCGGCUCUCUGGACUGUAACUGACGCUGAGGCACGAAAGCGUGGGGAGCAAACAGGAUUAGAUACCCUGGUAGUCCACGCUGUAAACGAUGAGUACUAGGUGUCGGGGGUUACCCCCUUCGGUGCCGCAGCUA
rnacentral:rRNA from 1 species